rnacentral:rRNA from 1 species
GAUGAACGCUAGCGGCAGGCUUAAUACAUGCAAGUCGUGGGGCAGCAUGAGUAGCAAUACUUGAUGGCGACCGGCAAACGGGUGAGGAACACGUACACAACCUUCCUUCAAGCGGGGAAUAGCCCAGAGAAAUUCGGAUUAAUACCCCAUAAUAUAUUUGAUAAGGCAUCUUAUUAAUAUUAAAGCUUCGGCACUUGAUGAUGGGUGUGCGGCUGAUUAGAUAGUUGGCGGGGUAACGGCCCACCAAGUCUACGAUCAGUAGCUGAUGUGAGAGCAUGAUCAGCCACACGGGCACUGAGACACGGGCCCGACUCCCACGGGAGGCAGCAGUAGGGAAUAUUGGACAAUGGACGAAAGUCUGAUCCAGCCAUGCCGCGUGAAGGAUUAAGGUCCUCUGGAUUGUAAACUUCUUUAUAUGGGACGAAAAAGGGCAUCUUGUUCACUUGACGGUACCAUAUGAAUAAGCACCGGCUAACUCCGUG